GAUGAACGCUGGCGGCGUGCCUAAUACAUGCAAGUCGAGCGGACCACUUCGGUGGUCAGCGGCGGACGGGUGAGUAGCACGUGGGCAACCUGCCUGUAAGACUGGGAUAACACCGGGAAACCGGUGCUAAUACCGGAUAAUCCUUUCCUUCACAUGAGGGAAAGCUGAAAGACGGUUUCGGCUGUCACUUACAGAUGGGCCCGCGGCGCAUUAGCUAGUUGGUGAGGUAACGGCUCACCAAGGCAACGAUGCGUAGCCGACCUGAGAGGGUGAUCGGCCACACUGGGACUGAGACACGGCCCAGACUCCUACGGGAGGCAGCAGUAGGGAAUCUUCCGCAAUGGACGAAAGUCUGACGGAGCAACGCCGCGUGAGCGAUGAAGGCCUUCGGGUCGUAAAGCUCUGUUGUCAGGGAAGAACAAGUACCGGAGUAACUGCCGGUACCUUGACGGUACCUGACCAGAAAGCCACGGCUAACUACGUGCCAGCAGCCGCGGUAACAC
rnacentral:rRNA from 1 species